rnacentral:sRNA from 1 species
GACAGACAAAGACAAGAAAAGGGCUCUUGCUGUAGGUCUUCUCGCUCAGUUUAGCUCACUUUCUGGAAAGGUGCCACUGGCCUUGUGCCACUUGUUCUCUUCCUGGCUAUCCAGUUAGCCCCUUGCCUGUGGGGCCCUUGGCGUGUGCUCGGGAGUCACCUGCUUCAGCCCUGGGAGCUUCAGAGCUGCUCGGCAACCAUUCCUGGGCCACGUGGCCCUCGCUCCGCAGGUGUAGAUGGCAAGUGCCGGACAAAUGUUGCUUGGCAGGAUUGUUACGUAAGGUAGAAUUUCUGUCCCUCUUGUCUCCAAGUUUACAGGAAGCUUUUUUUGGACAUUUCUUUUCAGACUCAUUCUGAUGAAGGAAAGAGCAUCCCUGCGCAGCUGCGUGUCCUUCAAUUCUUUGGCUCUGAUUCCAUGUCUGGCUUAAUCUAAGUGGCCUGGUCCAUGGGCAGUGAAGAAAUUUAAAGUGCAAUAGCACUCCGGAACAAGACAAUUCAUGUGAGAUAAGAGAGAAGAGCCCACAAGACCAAGGAUGCAUUCUCAGUUUACA